GACCUUGCUCAGGUCACGUUCUGAGCCUGCUUCUCACUCCUGGCCCCUCCCAUCCUCCUGGUUCCGCCGUGGACAAGCUGAAGUCUCUCUGGGGCCAGGGGACCCGCACGGCCCAGCCGCCCCACCCCACCAUCUCCCAGGCAUGUGAGAAAAUAUCACAUUCUCUGUGUUUUGGAGAUUUCUUCUAAAUGUAUUUUCCAACUAUCAUUUCAUAGCAAAUCAGCAAGAAAAAAGGGGCUUCCUGGAGCUCCUGCAACCCCAGGCAUUAGUUCCAGUGCAGUUCUAGGAUCAGAUCAAUUCACUCGACAACAAGAGAAACAAAUGGAGAUUCCUACACAAAGACUUUCAAGCACAAAGAAAUCCUGCUGCCUAUAAAGCAGAGCUGCCUCAGCUCUUGAUGAACGACAGAAAAUACCACCUACUGCCAGACCUCUUCGCCUCACAAAACUCUCACCCACCUACUGCUUUUAGCUCAAAUUCCAGGAAUUCAGAUGAAGUGAAGUGCUCUCAUGGGGACCAGGCGUGGGUAUGCCAGUCCACUGCCCUGCAAGUCUCAAGGGAAACCAACUGCCCAUCAGCAAGUCACACCUGCCUUGGUGGAGGCAUUGAUUGGAAGGGCCACAGGCUACAUGUCCAGUCCUGAGUGGGAGAAUCGGUGUAGGGAUGUUCUGGGGAUGCUGGCUGUGGCUAGAUCAGGUCCAGCUACAGAAGAAUAAUGAAGACUUCACCUGAGGGCUGGAAAAACAAAACCUCAAGUGUGAGGCAGCCAACCUAUUACCUCGAGGGACUGUCCCGCAGCACAGCAGGGCCAUGGGAACAGCAGCAGACACCCCGGCCUCCUCACUACCUGUGUGUGUAUUAGACACCCAG
rnacentral:lncRNA from 1 species